ACACAUUUGAAGAACGGAUAUGGU
rnacentral:siRNA from 1 species